CCUUCGAUAGCUCAGUUGGUAGAGCGGAGGACUGUAGCGGUGGCUCCCAGGCAUCCUUAGGUCGCUGGUUCGAAUCCGGCUCGAAGGA
rfam:Myotis lucifugus cont2.52706, whole genome shotgun sequence.